AUACGGAGGGUCCAAGCGUUAUCCGGAAUCAUUGGGUUUAAAGGGUCCGCAGGCGGUCAAUUAAGUCAGAGGUGAAAGCCCAUCGCUCAACGAUGGAACUGCCUUUGAUACUGGUUGACUUGAGUUAUACGGAAGUAGAUAGAAUAAGUAGUGUAGCGGUGAAAUGCAUAGAUAUUACUUAGAAUACCGAUUGCGAAGGCAGUCUACUACGUAUAUACUGACGCUGAGGGACGAAAGCGUGGGGAGCAAACAGGAUUAGAAACCCCAGUAGUCC
rnacentral:rRNA from 1 species